rnacentral:tRNA from 1 species
AUUUGAGUAGUUUAAUUAAAAAAAAAUUAUGAUUUGUGGAGUCAUAGAUAUCAAAAGGUCUCAAGUU